rnacentral:rRNA from 1 species
UACGUAGGGGGCAAGCGUUGUCCGGAUUUAUUGGGCGUAAAGAGCGUGUAGGCGGCCUGAAAGGUCAGCUGUGAAAAACUCGAGGCUCAACCUCGAGACGUCGGUUGAAACCAUCUGGCUAGAGUCCGGAAGAGGAGUGUGGAAUUCCCGGUGUAGCGGUGAAAUGCGCAGAUAUCGGGAAGAACACCCGUGGCGAAGGCGGCACUCUGGGACGGUACUGACGCUGAGACGCGAAAGCGUGGGGAGCGAACAGG